rnacentral:rRNA from 1 species
UUGCCGAGGAGUCCGAAAUCGGCUCAGAGCACAUAUUCAUGGGGCCAAAAGACGAGGGGAGCCCAAACGAGUACGAUCUUGCCCAAAGCGGCCCGGUGCGAUGGCUCUUGGAUAGCAACGGGCUGGGUCUGAUGCGAGCGGGCAUCCUUGCAUUCUUUGUCGGCAUCGUGGGGCUUUGUAUCACAUCGAGUGGCGCGGUCGCCGGCCGCAUCGCCAACGGCCUGGUUUGGGGUCU